AACAAUCCAGAGGCAGUUAGAAGGUGGCUAUGAGAUAGAGGGUCACGGUUGGUACCGAGACAGUUGGAGAGAGAGAAGUCAAGGCACACACACCGGUCUCAUGACCACAACAGGGCAACUGGUCAAAGAUGCUGGUUUUGGAAAGAGAUAAGGCCUGGAUCUGCCUGGCUUGUGGGAAGACGCUGACACCAAAGCCUCGCAGCAGGGCGAGAUGAGCGCCUGUGUAUGAGGCUGUGAUGUAGAAAAAAAAGCACUCAAACCUCGUUAUCGUUAAUAAGGGGCAAGAAGAAACUGAAGGGGCAGCUCAAGGUGCCACUGAGAAUUCCACCAUGGUGCAAGCUCACUGAAAUCCUGUCUGGGAAGGGCGGGAAGCAAGCAGAGAAGAGGCAUGGUGGCCUGAGCACCCUCUGAAUGCCAGAGAAUGGCAGAUUUCCGGCCUUGGACGGAGCACAGAAAAAGUCCUGGUAGCCUGUGAGCAGGCAAGUCAGGGAUAGUAAGUAAAUCCUGGAGCUGGUUUGCUAAUGUCACAAAUCAGCCAGCAGCGCUGUUGAUCUACCAAGACAGGGCAGAGAAGGAACUGAGUCCUCGAGGCAUCAUAUUGGGAGCAGAGAGCUGGCUAGAGCUGAACCUGGAGACACCUGCUCCGCCCACCAUGCCCCAUGGAGAGACUAGGGAAGCAGCGAGCUGUCCAGCUUCCCAUAAGCAUCAAAGAUUAAUGCCUGGAAUCCACCUCCGCGGCUGCAUCGCGUCAGACCUUAGUACGUCAUCUGCUUGAAAUGACGUCUUUUGGUUCGCUAGUCUCAGCGUUCAUGUUUCAUGUGUGAGCCAGAUGGAGAGCGGAAGGGAACCCGGGGCGCCUGGAUUCCCACCUCGGGGGGUCCACAAAUGGGCUCCGAACUCAGAGUUCCGGGGGGGCGGGGCAUGGCUGCGGCUUUGCCACUUACCAGCUGUGUCAUCACAGGAACCUUGUCUAAAUCUUUGUCCCCCAGUCCUCUUUUCUGUCAUAUGGUGAUAAUGGUCCCGAUCGGAUACCUGAGAGGUUUAAAUGAGGUCGUGUGUAGAAGCGAUUCAUUCAAGCAGCCUUCCUUUCAGUUACCAAGGCUCUUUUAAAAGGUCGAAUUACUUGAAAAGAAAAGAGUACCCGACCUUGAUAGCUGAGCAUUUGGUUAUGACGGGUGGGCUCGUCAGUGGGCAUGAGGGGCUGCUGGGCCCGAUCCCCCACAAGCCCCGGGGUUCUCCGUGUCUUGUGCCUGCAUUUCUAGAGUCUACACUGUUUGUUCCCGGCAGUGGCGCCUACAGCUUUAGUUUGGGUGCUCAGAGAGGGCCUGGCUACGAUUGGAUGCCUGGUGUGGGGUUCACUUGCCUGUAUUUAGGGCAGACCUCCUCAGCCUCAGCACUAUUGACAUUGGAA